UACGUAGGGGGCAAGCGUUGUCCGGAAUCAUUGGGCGUAAAGCGCGUGUAGGCGGUUCAGUAAGUCUGCUGUGAAAGUCCAGGGCUCAACCCUGGGAUGCCGGUGGAUACUGUCGGACUAGAGUACGGAAGAGGCGAGUGGAAUUCCCGGUGUAGUGGUGAAAUGCGUAGAUAUCGGGAGGAACACCAGUGGCGAAGGCGACUUCCUGGCCUGUUCUUGACGCUGAGGCGCGAAAGCUAGGGUAGCAAACGGGGAUUAA
rnacentral:rRNA from 1 species